rnacentral:lncRNA from 1 species
GGGCUUCAAACUCCAGGAAAAUCUACGCUAUCUCUGACACUGACUUUGUGGAGUUCCAGAAUGGAAGAUGACCUAAAGUAAGUAGAAGGUCCCAAGCAGAAGAGGUCAUUUCUAAUAUGGACCACCUGAAAAAAGCUGCAGAGAGCCUCCCAGACAUCACUUCAUCUGUAAACCAGCUGUUUGAGCUUGCAAAGGCCAAAAGCGCAGUGGCAAAAUCUCUAACUAUGACUCCUAUAAAGGACGCCUUCACCUGUAUGAUCUGUAGAGCUGUGAUGAAGCAACCUAUGGUUUCCACCUGCUGUGAGUCUCUGCUUGGAUGCCAAACAUGUGUAGAGCAGUGGUUGACAACUUCUGAUCUUUGUCUUUCCCUUUCCUGCAAGAUGGGACAAUGCAAUAAUAUUUAAAGAGUUAGUGAUAGAUUAGGACUGCACCAUUAAUCACAUCCUAAUUGUAAUCAUGAUUUUGAUCAUGAUUAACCUGAUUAUUAAUCUCAUUUUUGCCCUCUAGUGUAUUUAAUCAGUUAGCCUUUAAAUAAUUCAAAAAUCGUGGGAUAUUUUUUAUUUAUAUAUAUAAUUCUAAUUUAAAACCUAAUUUUGCAC